rnacentral:rRNA from 1 species
UACGUAGGGCGCAAGCGUUGUCCGGAAUUAUUGGGCGUAAAGAGCUCGUAGGUGGUUUGUUACGUCUGCUGUGAAAACCUAGGGCUUAACCCUGGGCCUGCAGUGGAUACGGGCAGACUAGAGGUAGGUAGGGGAGAAUGGAAUUCCCGGUGUAGCGGUGAAAUGCGCAGAUAUCGGGAGGAACACCGGUGGCGAAGGCGGUUCUCUGGGCCUUACCUGACACUGAGGAGCGAAAGCGUGGGGAGCGAACAGG